UAGCCUUGACAUUGAUUGAACGGACCAGAGAUGGACCGGUGCCCUUCGGGGAACAUGAAAACAGGUGCUGCACGGCUGUCGUCAGCUCGUGUCGUGAGAUGUUGGGUUAAGUCCCGCAACGAGCGCAACCCUCGUCCUUAGUUGCCAGCAGGUUAAGCUGGGCACUCUAAGGAGACUGCCUUCGCAAGGAGGAGGAAGGUGAGGACGACGUCAAGUCAUCAUGGCCCUUAUGGCUAGGGCUACACACGUGCUACAAUGGGGCGUACAGAGAGUUGCGAUACCGCGAGGUGGAGCCAAUCUCAUAAAGCGUCUCUCAGUUCGGAUUGGAGUCUGCAACUCGACUCCAUGAAGC
rnacentral:rRNA from 1 species